UCAGAGCAGACAGCCUGGCCACACAUGGUCAAAUGAUUAUGUCUCUGCUCCUGGAUCCCUGAAACCUCAAGGAAGAUGUCAAGCUGCAAAAGCAGUCCAGCAACAGAAUGUAAGUUUCGCAAAGUUCCUCCAAGCAGGAGGAACAAGAGGUGCAGGAAAAUCUACGACGCACCGCUGAAGAAGAAGAAAGGGUAUGUACGUGUCUGUGCCACAUACUACUACUGGAAAGGAGGGAAAAAAUAAUGUCCUUGCUUGGAAAGUCCAUCUCUGCAUUAGUUGUUAAUCACCACCAGGCAUCUUCCAUGAUAGGGGACGUUAGCAAUCAUGACCAGAGGGAACAGCGCAAGAAAGAUCCAGGACCUCUUCUAUGAUAGGAGCUAGAUAUGUCUGUCUGUCAAUAAACUCAUGAAAGCA